UUUUGUGAUUUUUUUUAUUCUUUUUAGUUUUUUAGGGGAUAUUGCAACACUUUUUGGUCAAGAAUCUAAAUCGUGUUAAAAUGAGGGAUUUCUUUUCCAAUAGAGCUCUAUUUUUUUUCCUUCCUCUCUUCCACGUUUAGUCUAUAGUUUUCUCUCUAAACCUUUCCAUUUCUUUCGUCCAUCCUCUUCGCUCUCAAGCAUACGAAUUAGAAAUUGGGUCUUUACUCAGGCGAUUUAUCUUCACACUUGUGAUUGGGUUGUGAAUUGGAGUUUAGAGAAACUAGCGAUUGGCGGUAUGAAUUGCGAGAAGAAAAAGUUGUUUAGGUUUCUAUUCAUAAAAUGAUGGAACCUGAACUCUAGUUCAGCACGGUGUAGCAUGCGUCGGAAUGCAGGGUGGCUUAAGUAUGAAAGAGGCAUAACAUGUCUCUUCUUGUUAGCCUGAUCACCUACACAAACUGGUAUAUGUCCUUUUGGAACUGCUGAUGCAUGCUGAUUUCUGCUAAGAACCUGCUUUGCAGUAGAGAGCAUAGAAGGGAAUCAGAUAGCCAUCUUUGCAAUGAAAUUGUUCAAAGCAGACAAGAAUAAAUGCUUAUAUUUGCUCAUGUAUUUGUUAGUAGCUUUUCAGAUUAUGAUUUGUUGCUUGCUGUUCAGUUUUGUAAGGCUCUGAUAUGCUAUUUGUUGUUCAGUUCUGAAAGGCUCUAAUCUUUUGCUUGAUAUUCAGUUCUAUAAGGCUUUGAUUCUGAUCUGCUGCUUUUUGUUCAGUUCAGUUCCAGUUGGCAGAUUUAUUUUGUUUAGGUUGGGGGGUUUAGGUUUCUGCCCUUCAUGUGCGGUUGUGCUGCUUGUUUAUGUUUCUUCCCGUGCAGCCGUUGUGUGGUUUUCAUCUGCUGUUUUGCAAAAUAGAUCAUAUUAUUUCAUUUGAAUUACAUGCAUUAAUUUUCCUAUUAUAUUGACUAUUUAAUUUGUUUUUCUUUACAGGGUGGUACAUAGAAGGAAAAUGGUAAGGAUGGCAAGAAGGGCAUAGAUUGAAGUUUUUUUGGACUGAUUUUUGGACAAAUAAAUUGAAUACUAGAUAGCUUUUAGAUUGCUUGAACCAUUAGUUCUUUUUUCGAGAUUUAUUAGUUUUCUAAUUGAUGUAUUUAUAAAUUAACAAAUUUUUUUGUUAUUAGAAUGAUUGUUAUGGAUAUUUUAUUUUAAGUAGAACUUAAUUUCAAAUAAAUGUUUUCUAUUUGUAGUA